AUUGAACGCUAGCGGGAUGCUUUACACAUGCAAGUCGAACGAGUGGCGGACGGGUGAGUAAUAUAUAGGAACGUGCCCAGUAGCGGGGGCUAACUCCUCGAAAGAGUGGCUAAUACCGCCUACUAUUGGAGCGGCCGAUAUAGGAUUAGCUAGUUGGUGGGGUAAAGGCUCACCAAGGCAACGAUCCGUAGCUGGUUUGAGAGGACGACCAGCCACACUGGGACGGAUACACGGCCCAAACUCCUACGGGAGGAAGCAGUGGGGAAUUUUGGACAAUGGGGGAAACCCUGAGCCAGCCAUCCCGCGUGUAUGAGAAGGCCUUCGGGUUGUAAAGUACUUUUGGCAGAGAAGCGGUAUCUGCAGAAUAAGCACCGGCUAACUACGUGCCAGCAGCCGCGGUAAUUC
rnacentral:rRNA from 1 species